UAUGUGAUCGUCUCUCGCAUAUCAAUAAGCGGAGGAAAAGAAACUAACAAGGAUUCCCCUAGUAACGGUGAGUGAAGCGGGAAGAGCUCAAAUUUGAAAUCUUAAAGGGUUUCCCUUUACGAAUUGUAGUUUAAAGAAGUGUUUUCUGUUGAGGUUUUGGUAAAAGUUCUUUGGAAUAGGACAUCAUAGAGGGUGAGAAUCCCGUAUUUGACCUUUACUUUCAACUUUGUGAUACACUUUCAAAGAGUCGGAUUGUUUGGGAAUGCAGUCCAAAAUGGGUGGUAAAUUUCAUCUAAAGCUAAAUAUUGGCGAGAGACCGAUAGCGAACAAGUACCGUGAGGGAAAGAUGAAAAGAACUUUGAAAAGAGAGUUAAACAGUACGUGAAAUUGUCAAAAGGGAAGCGUUUGACACCAGUGUUGUUUUUCUGAAAAUCAAUUAAAGAACUGUUUAUGCUAAGCUGUUUAGACUUUAUCAGCUAACUGUUUAGUUUUGAGCUUUUCUUUAAUGCACUUUUCAGUUAACAAGUCAACAUCAAUUUCUUUUGCUGUAAAAAAGCUUGAGGAAGGUGGCUUGAGAUUCGUCUUAAGUGUUUAUAGCCUCUUGCCUAUGCAGUCGGAGAGAUUGAGGUCUGCAGCGUAGAUCCUUCGGGGCUAAAUGCAUUUGUGCUAAGUUAUAGCAUUUUAUAGACAACUUGUUGACUAUGAUUUGUCUUGUAGCUUACUCGCUUAUGUUAUUUUACCUACGCUUAGGAUGUUGAGUAGCGACAUACGCAC
rnacentral:rRNA from 1 species